UACGUAGGGGGCAAGCGUUGUCCGGAAUUAUUGGGCGUAAAGAGCGCGUAGGCGGUCCGGUAAGUCGGCUGUGAAAGUCAAGGGCUCAACCCUUGAAAGCCGGCCGAUACUGUCGGACUAGAGUCCGGAAGAGGCGAGUGGAAUUCCCGGUGUAGCGGUGAAAUGCGCAGAUAUCAGGAAGAACACCAACGGCGAAGGCAGCUCGCUGGGACGGUACUGACGCUGAGACGCGAAAGCGUGGGGAGCAAACAGG
rnacentral:rRNA from 1 species